AGAACAAGAAAAGGUUACUUUAUUUUCAACCAAGCGGUCACGACGCAUGCAGAGGGAAGAACUAAACCACGUUUCACUUUCACAGCCUUGGGAAAUUAAGAUCAGAAGUAGGCUAGCUAACUAGCGCAUAUGCCUAAACUAACGCUCAUCAGAUUGUGUUUCUGGCUUUGUCUGGCGCGAACGGUGGUCUCCCGAGAUGAUCUUUAUCUUAAAGUGGGAGGUGAGCUCGUGUUGAAACCAGACAAGUCCACAGUGCCUGACUCCAUAUCAAGCAUCCUAUGGAAGCAUGGGAAGAACAAGGUGGCAGAGUGGGACAAGGAUUUUGGUGGUCUGGACAUCUAUGCCUCCUUCAAAGAGCGUACAACCCUGGACCAGACUACUGGAGAGCUGAGAAUCAGUGGAUUGAAGAAAACAGACAGUGGAGUUUAUUCUGUGGAGUUUAACAGCAAACUGCUUGACCAGACAUAUACAUUAUCUGUUUUCAAGGCAGUCCCCAAACCCACGAUCACUUCUUCCUGUAACCCAGACAAAACCUCCUGCACUCUGACCUGUGAGGGCGACACCACUGAUGCUGAACCAGUCACCUACAGCUGGAAAGUGGGAGCGAGCGCGUGGGAGGUCUUAGACAAACAGAUUAAUGUCAAUAAGAGUGACACUGGCAAAUCAACCAACAGUUACAAGUACAUCUGCAAAAUGAAAAACCCUGUUAGUGAAGAAGUCAGUGAUCCAAUUGGACAAAGGUUUGGUCCAAAGGCAGUCCCUAAACCCACAAUCACUUAUACCUGCAACUCCAACAAAACCACCUGCAUUCUAACCUGUGAGAGCGACACCACUGAUGCUGAACCAGUCACCUACAGCUGGAAAGUGGGAGAGGGGGCGUGGGAGGUCAUAGAAAAAUGGCUGAUUGUCUCUAAGAGCGACACUGGCAAAUCAACCAACAGUUACAAGUACAUCUGCAAGCUGAAGAACUCUGCUGGAGAAGGGGAAGUCAGUGAUCCAGUUGGAUCGGUGUUUUAUCCAGAGCCUUCUGAAGUCGGUGGUGGUUGGAUUGUUGGUGUUGUCGUCAUUGUAGUCAUUGUAGCGCUUGUUGCCAUUGUCAUAACAGUUUGGUUGGUGUGGAAGAAGAAAAAAGAAUAUCCCCAAGACACCUGGAUUGACUUUUUGAGAAAGUAUUUUGGUGGAAUUUAUGGUAGAAUGUGUGGGGAUGCAGGCAACAAUCAGAAUACUGUUGCCCUGGAUACAGUUUACAGCGUUGUAGGAGAGAAGUCUUCUAGAGAUUACUCCAUGAAUCAGAAUAAUAACAAUCAGCCCACUAACACAGCUAAAGGCAGUGACAGAGUCCAGCCAGAACAAGGGAUUUCACUAACGGGGAAAGACAACGCAGACAAAAGUGGAAAGGGGCAGGGGAAUGGAGGUGUGUAUAAAAUCUAAAGGCGUGAUGUAGUCCAGCCAGAACAAGCAACUGAAGCCAGCGGAUCCAACAGUCCUACAGUUCAGUCCAAGCCUGAGGCUGGUGUUCUUCCUGGUGGGGUAACUGAGGAGCAGAAACAUGGGGUUUGAAGGCUCUCAGUACAUGACUCCCUAUGUUACAUUGAGACAAACGACCAAGAAGAGAGAAACAUGUUUGAAUUGUUGGAGAUGUUUUUUAAUGAAAUGUAAAAUGAAGGAAAACAACAGGCGAACGUUGCACAAAGUAACAUGCAUUCAAUCAGAUGAAGUACAGUGAGCUACGAAGUAUUGGCACAGACAUCUUUUGUUGUUUUGGCUCUGUACUCCAGCACUUUGGGUUUGAAAUGAGAUUAUGACUAUAAGGUUAAAGUGCAGACUAUCAGCUUUAACCCGAUAUGGAUGAGAAUAACCUCAAAUUAAAGCUGACAGUUUGCACUUUAACCUCAGUUGUUGUAUCAUUUCAAAUCCAAAGUGCUGGAGUACAGAGCCAAAACAACCAAAAACAGUGUCACUGUCCCAAUACUUUUGGAGCUCACUGUAUAAUGUGAUGAACAGUGUGCUUUAUGAACUUACAGUACUUCAGAAAUAUGAGGGCAAUAUUUGUAUCUCAGAACAUUUUGAUGAUGGACGAAAAAGUAUCUUAUACUUUGUGGUAAAUGGCUUUGUGGAUUCAAAUCCUUUCUCAGUAUUCAUGCCUCGUCUUUACAAAUCUCAAUCAAUUUGUGCAGGUUGUUUGAAGCCGUAGUGUCAAUCACUUUGUGGUUGAAUGAUUCCUUUUCAGGUAUUUUCUCCAGAGCGCUUUAUGCCAACCCAAUGCACUUUCUGUUUUAAAUCGCAGCUUGUGAAUGUCUUAUCAUUUCAUAAUUGACUAAUUCUUAAAGCCUUGACUUGACUGGUUGUUAUUGUUUUAAUUAUAAGAAGGAGAGCUCUGUAGUACUGAGAUGUAUUACUAAAACAUUUUAAUGCCUUAAAUAUUUGAAUGUUGUCUUCGUCAAAUUACCAUCUGGUAAAUAUCUGUUUUCACAAUAGAAUUUUGUGACUGUACAUCAAUCUGUGAUGGGACCAAUUAUGGACCAUAGUAAGGGGUACCACUUGUUGCCACCAGAUUGUUGAGAACAUUUGUUGGGAAAGACCACUAACCUGGUAUAUCCCAGGUUUUAGUUUUGUUACUGGUAUGUCUCUGGUAAUUCUGUUACAGAAGAAGUUAUAAAUUCAGACCAGCCACAUUGCUUUAUUUUAGGUCUGGACUGUUCUAUAAUGGAGUCCUGGCACAUGCAAAUGACAUGUAGCUGUACAAUCAUUGUAUGUAUCUCUGUUUAAACUCCAGAUUUCACGCUGUAGUGAUGUGUUGAUGACUGAAUGAUUGUGUUGUACACAACAUCUGAACACCAAUUCUGUUUCAGCACUUUGGCUUAAGAUUGGGAAAAAAUACAAACUUGAUUGGUGAAAGCAAUACAGAGGAAGGUCCAUAUAGGGCUGGGUUCAGACAUCACUAACAUACAUAUCCCUAUCUGAACCCUUCAGAUCUGUGAAUACUGAGCCGGGGAUAGGGACUAGUUAAAACUAGACUUAGAGAUCAGUCUCAUUGCAUGUACUGGAUGACUUCUCAGCUCGGUUCGCUAAACGGAUCACACAACAGGACAGACAAUUCCUAAAUCAAGUGUCCACUCCUUCCUUCUGAGACAUGCUGCUGUGCAAAACAAAUGCACUUGAAAGCGCAGUGUGUUUAUUUUAUCUGCAACAAUUGCAUUCCAGCCUGCAUGUCCUGCCAAUCUGUUACGGUUUUCUUCCGUUGAAGGAGAGUCGGACCAAAAUGCAACGUGGUAUUCUCGAUACAUAUUUAAUGAAGACGAAAAAACAUACAAUACAAAAACAACAAACGUAACGCGAAAACCUAAACAGUCUAUCUUGUGCAAACACACACAGAGACAUGAACAAUCACCCACGAAACACUCAAAGAAUAUGGCUGCCUAAAUAUGGUUCCCAAUCAGAGACAACGAGAAUCACCUGCCUCUGAUUGAGAACCGCCUCAGGCAACCAUAGACUUUGCUAGAACACCCCACUAAGCCACAAUCCCAAAACCUACGAAAAACCCCCAUACAUAAACACAACACAAAAUAAACCCAUGUCACACCCUGGCCUGGCCAAAUAAAUACAGAAAACACAAAAUACUAAGACGAAGACACAAUCCUUUGUGAAUUUGAGGUGUUUGAUAUUUAUAUUUUUUCAAUAAAGGAGUUGAUGAGUUCUA